GAAUUUUCCUCCUCGGCUGGUGGUGCACUAGUGGGCAUCGGUGGAAGAAUGCCAUUUCCUGGAUAGUUGUACUUCUUGAACACCCUUUCUUGGUUUUGCUUCCACCACUCUGCGGCUAGCUGUUCUGCGAACUUUCUCUUGCUGAAUCUAACCCGCCGAAACACUUUGGUUCCAUUUUGUAACUGAAUAAGCGUCACAUAUACGCCAGGCUCAAAUUGCU
rnacentral:misc_RNA from 1 species